UACGUAGGGUGCAAGCGUUAAUCGGAAUUACUGGGCGUAAAGCGUGCGCAGGCGGUUUUGUAAGACAGGUGUGAAAUCCCCGGGCUUAACCUGGGAACUGCAUUUGUGACUGCAAGGCUGGAGUGCGGCAGAGGGGGAUGGAAUUCCGCGUGUAGCAGUGAAAUGCGUAGAUAUGCGGAGGAACACCGAUGGCGAAGGCAAUCCCCUGGGCCUGCACUGACGCUCAUGGUCGAAAGCGUGGGGAGCAAACAGG
rnacentral:rRNA from 1 species